rnacentral:rRNA from 1 species
CCUACGGGGGGCUGCAGUGAGGAAUAUUGGUCAAUGGACGAGAGUCUGAACCAGCCAAGUAGCGUGAAGGAUGACUGCCCUAUGGGUUGUAAACUUCUUUUAUAUGGGAAUAAAAUGUUCCACGUGUGGGAUUUUGUAUGUACCAUAUGAAUAAGGAUCGGCUAACUCCGUGCCAGCAGCCGCGGUAAUACGGAGGAUCCGAGCGUUAUCCGGAUUUAUUGGGUUUAAAGGGAGCGUAGGUGGAUUGUUAAGUCAGUUGUGAAAGUUUGCGGCUCAACCGUGAAAUUGCAGUUGAAACUGGCAGUCUUGAGUACAGUAGAGGUGGGCGGAAUUCGUGGUGUAGCGGUGAAAUGCUUAGAUAUCACGAAGAACUCCGGUUGCGAAGGCAGUUCACUGGACUGCAACUGACACUGAGGCUCGAAAGUGUGGGUAUCAAACAGGAUUAGAUACCCCUGUAGUC